CAACUCAGAAAUGUAAAUGUCAUGUAUCAGGCAAAAUUAACUCUAGUGUGUUGCGACCAAGUGCAAUUAUUUCUCUUUUCUUAUUUGAAACAGACUUUAAAAUAGCUACUAAACACCUCUGUAAACAUUAGUGAUGCGAGAGACUACAUUACCCAGGGGACAGUGCUGUGUGUUGUGAUUGUAAUGGCAUUGACCUGAGCGUUGCAGUCUGUUUCUGACGAUCGCUGUGAGCGCUGGAUCUCUCUCUCUCUCUCUUCCGCUCUCUCUCUUUCAAAUACACCACAUAUAUCUGCACACAUCUAAAUUUUACACAGGAUAACUCGUAUGUGAUUGAAGCGCAGGGAUGCAUCAGAUGCGUCUGCAGAUGGGAUUUUAACAUUACUCAUGGAUAUAAACUGGAUGCAUAUUUGGAUUCUUAUGAGAUUUUAUGUUUAAUGCCAUCUGGAUGUGACCAUUCUAAACCAUUCAUGAAUCUCUGCAAUGAGACGUUGAUCAGUGGAAUAGACAGUGGAAUAAACUUACUUUAUAUGGGAUGGACAGGAACACCAUCACAAAUGUUGGACGAGGUGGACAACUUGAUGUCAGACGUCUUCUCUGCUUGCACGACAGAUUUCUGUGAUUUGGUGAUUCAUAUGAGAGGAACACAUUUGUCUGAUCAAUCACUAUGCUGUCAUUCACUAGUAACUCACCACUACAGACGAUGGAUUCCAUGAAUUCUGUACCAUUUUUGCUUAUUUUUUGGCAAAUAAUGGGCUUUGAUGUAUUUGUAAACCUGGCUUUGAAUCAUACAUUAUGUCAGAAAAAGCAAUAUGUCACAUUUUGCCUCUUGUUCUCCAAAGCAGAGAAGUACAGCAAUGGGAACUGACUUUUUCUUUUUUUAAGAACCAGUUCCAUUUAAAAAGCAUAUUGUAUCUGUAUGGAAUAUUUUUUCUGCACAUCUGAAUCUACAGUACAGCAGCAAAAGAAAUUUUUUAAUCAAAUUAUAACUAUUUUUGGCUUUCUUAAAAGCAUAUUCCUUAAAAAUACUACAUUUCAGUUAAUUAACAGUUAAUAUAUGCUAGAUUUUUUAAUGUGUAAAUAAUAAUACAGUUAAUAAUGUGUUAAUAAAACAGUAUUUACCUUGUAAAUUGUGAAUGGAUGGCAAUAACAUUUUAACUGAAAGAAAAAAAAAUUUUUUACUGAAAUGACAAAAUCUUGACAUAUUAAGCCAAUGUUUAGUCCUAAAGCUUCACAUUAUCAGUCUCUGUUAGGAUGUCCUUGUGCAGUGAGAAAAAGAUGUUAAAUGCUAAUAAUAAACACAUUCAAAGUUUAUAA